rnacentral:rRNA from 1 species
UACGGGGGGGCAAGCGUUGUUCGGAAUUACUGGGCGUAAAGGGCUCGUAGGCGGCCAACUAAGUCAGACGUGAAAUCCCCAGGCUCAACCUGGGAACUGCGUCUGAUACUGGAUGGCUUGAAUCCGGGAGAGGGAUGCGAAUUCCAGGUGUAGCGGUGAAAUGCGUAGAUAUCUGGAGGAAUACCGGUGGCGAAGGCGGCAUCCUGGACCGGCAUUGACGCUGAGGAGCGAAAGCCAGGGGAGCAAACGGG